rnacentral:rRNA from 1 species
UGGGCAACCUGCCCUUAGCUCUGGGAUAACCCCCGGGAAACCGGGGCUAAUACCGGAUACGACUCCGAGCGGCAUCACUCGGAGUGGAAAGAACUUCGGCAAAGGAUGGGCCCGCGGCCUAUCAGCUUGUUGGUGGGGUAACGGCCUACCAAGGCGACGACGGGUAGCCGGCCUGAGAGGGCGACCGGCCACACUGGGACUGAGACACGGCCCAGACUCCUACGGGAGGCA